rnacentral:rRNA from 1 species
AACGAACGCUGGCGGCAUGCCUAACACAUGCAAGUCGAACGAGACCUUCGGGUCUAGUGGCGCACGGGUGCGUAACGCGUGGGAACCUGCCCUUAGGUUCGGAAUAACUCCCCGAAAGGGGUGCUAAUACCGGAUAAUGUCUUCGGACCAAAGAUUUAUCGCCUUUGGAUGGGCCCGCGUUGGAUUAGCUAGUUGGUAGGGUAAAAGCCUACCAAGGCGACGAUCCAUAGCUGGUCUGAGAGGAUGAUCAGCCACACUGGGACUGAGACACGGCCCAGACUCCUACGGGAGGCAGCAGUAGGGAAUAUUGGGCAAUGGGCGAAAGCCUGAUCCAGCAAUGCCGCGUGAGUGAUGAAGGCCUUAGGGUUGUAAAGCUCUUUUACCCGGGAUGAUAAUGACAGUACCGGGAGAAUAAGCUCCGGCCAACUCCGUG